GUUUUUAAGUGGAUCUUCGCUGAGGACUCAUCAAAAACACCUUGUGUAAUGAAAAACCCAGAUCUAUAACCUCUCCCUAUAUAUUCUGCAUGCAUUGAAGUAGGCUCAAACCCUCAGGGACCUGGUAUAGACGCAGAAUCUGUUUCACACAACAACUGCUAUUUGAAGGAAAAAAAAAAAAAGAAGCAAAUGAUACCAAGACAAGCUCAUAACAGAGAUCCAAUCAGCAGAUGUGUACGGAUGAAAAUACAGAUUGAAAAGGAAGAUCAGGCCAACCCCAAAGAAGAAGUGACCAAGGAGGAGUUUAAACUGAAUGAACAACCUCGGCUCCUGGACUCAUUGCUUCACAACCCAUCUACCCCUGGAUGAAGUUAUCUGGCUUCAAAUAUUAUGCAGGGGCAAACACCUGCUGAUGUGGCAACUGCUGAUGCUCAUGGUCCCCAUGGCAUGGGGGCCUCAGGGCAGCCUGCCUGGAGGUGAGCAGGGCUAUCUCUGUGUGUUGUACUCCAGUCAGGGGGUUCCAGCAGCACCCGCAGGCUCUAGAGCUCAAUGCACAGUUCUUUUUGUUUCACCUGCAGUCCUUUCUUCUCCAGGAUAUGCACAGGCCUCCAGGGUCUUUCAUGGCUCAGGGUCAGGGUGGCUCAAGUGCCAACCCACAUGUUGUCCUCCAAAUAUUCCCUUCUAUCCCUGGCAUGCUGUUGCUGAGCUCAACUUUUAAUUUUUGACUUUCUCCUUUGUAAUUAAUCUCUAUCUGGGUUUCUCUCUUUCUCUGUGCCAUUUGGUUUCCUUAAUUAGUUCCCUGUGCCAGCCCAUAGUCAGAGCCAUAAUUGGCUCUGGGGAAGAUCCAAGUUAUUUUCUGAGUAAGAUAUUAGGCUUCCAUAUGAUCCAGAGAUGCAAAGAAAUCCCUAGAGAGUGUAGGAGUUGUCUAAAUCCAUGUGUCAGAUGUAGCCAACGAAUUAUGUCAGAAGCAGAGAGAAAAGGCCUGAAAAGCAGCUCUCUCCCACUCCUCAGGCCCUUGUCUCCAACCUUACAUGAGGCUUUUUGAACAUCUCCUCCUGGCCCAGCUGGGGUGAGAGCAAGUCCUCGAAGGCACUGCCUUUGAGCCUUGCUCAGCCCAUCUGAACUAUCCCAACUCUAGAAUUGACUGCUUUCGAAUUGUGUGACCUUGGGAAUGUUAUCUGGCUUCAACCACAAUGCCCUACCCCCAGCUCCUCUCCCAAAUGAUCCUAGAUACAGGGCUGCUUCCCCCCGACCCUACCCCACCUCGGGACACAGGCUCAUGGCCUCAUGGCACUUCACCACCAGAAGUGGUGCUCAGAGUUCCUAUUUCCACAUCUAACCCCCUAAUUCCUGGGAAAGUCUGAGGCCUGGUCCCCCCAGUGCUUUCCCUGGCUGGCCUCUCCACAUUUUCAUCUGAUGGUGGAGUGAGAUCAGGAAAAAUAGGACAGGAGCUUUGCCUUGGGGGAGAAGAGAGUUAAGUGUGGAAAGGGGUGAGUUAUAGGAGGUUAAGCAGUCCAAGAUUUCUCUCUCUGUGUAGGAGGCCAUUUCCUGAUGUGAGGGGUCUGAACCCAAUUAUGAUGGGACAGGGUUGGGCAUUGACUUCCCAUCUCUUCUCUCUGUUUUUCUCCCACUAUCUGUAGCCCAAAACUCUUAUGGAGGACUUUGAUCUUUAGUAUAGGCUAUUGGUCAGGGCCAUAGGAACUAACCCCGAUCCUCACUCCACCAGGAUCUACCACAUCCCCUACACACAAACACAUGCUGUGGGGAGGGAGUUUUCCCCUGGGUCAAGUUGAGGAUCCUUAGAUCACCUUGUGCUCCUGUGGACUGGUGUGUGCGUGUGUGUGUGUGUGUGUGUGUGUGUGUGUGUGUGUGUGUGUGUGUGUGUAUGUUGGGAAACUUAGCUUUCAGAGAAUGUCUAUGGGCUCUCAUUUUCUCUCUCACACAAAAAUACUCGGGACUUCUCCAAGUCCCUGAGGAGCCUGACCACUGAAGCUGAUCAUGAGAUGACUGUAUGCUGACACACCCCCUUCAGGGGCCUGGCCUUGACUUAGGGCUGCACUGUAUCCUCAGCAACGGCCUUGCAGGAGCCCCUUUUGGACUGCUUUCCCUAUUCAGCCCAGAGUUGGGGUGGUGGGAGAAGAGGGGUUGGAGUGAAUCCAUCUCUAUUCAAAUUCCAGCUGGGAUUACUCUAGGAGUCUUCCUGGCUUGUUUUGGGCCCAAACUUAGCUACAUUGUUUAUUGGCUCCCAAAGUCGGGAUUGAAGAGUGAAAAGAUGCAGGCAAUGAAUCCUUCUGCACACUCCUCCCCAACCUUUCCAGCGCUUUUCUACUUAGGAGGCCAGUGGAAGGGAGGAGAGGCCAUGCCCUAGCCCACAGGGGACAAGGUUCAUUGUUCUUCCAGGCUUGGUUCACUCUGCUUUUGAUUCAGAAGCUCUUUCCCUACCCAGCAAGACUACACUUUCUUGCCUUCUUUCUAUUUUUUCUUUUUGUGCGUAUAAAUGGUAUGUUGUGAUAUAUUCUCAGUGCUUGUGCCCACCUUGGAACUCUGUUCUUGCUCUUCAUUCCGCAUGUGAUACUCUGGUCCAAGAUCUUGGCCAGGUGCCUUCUGCUCAAAUAUCGUCUCAGAGGUGCUUCCCUUGAAAACUCGGUGCUGUUUCCAUAGUUACUCUAUUUGAUCACUCUAAGUUUGGUUGUCUUCAUAGCACUUGUCACCCUCUGGAACUAUUCUAUUCAUUUAUUUACUUGUUUAAUGCUUGGCUCUUUUCCCCUCCUAACGUAAACUCCAUGAUUGCCAACACCUGUUUACUUACUACAGUUCCCCCUCCCCCCACAUUCCUGACACUAGUAAGAACCAAUAAACACUUGUUGACGGAA
rnacentral:lncRNA from 1 species